UACGUAGGGGGCAAGCGUUGUCCGGAUUUACUGGGCGUAAAGGGCUCGUAGGCGGCCAACUAAGUCAGACGUGAAAUCCCUCGGCUUAACCGGGGAACUGCGUCUGAUACUGGAUGGCUUGAGUUUGGGAGAGGGAUGCGGAAUUCCAGGUGUAGCGGUGAAAUGCGUAGAUAUCUGGAGGAACACCGGUGGCGAAGGCGGCACCCUGGACCAACACUGACGCUGAGUGAGCGAAAGCCAGGGGAGCAAACGGG
rnacentral:rRNA from 1 species